UGGAGAUGGGAUUGUGAUUCGUGGGAGUAAUUCAAGCUUGAAUGGUCGCGGUGGCGGUGGUGGCAGCGGUGGCAACUCCAACUCUGGUUCUGGUGGUGGGUUUGCCUCGAACUCCAAUGAUGGGUGUUGGGGUGGCUCUAAUUUGGGACCUAAUUUUCCUACUCCUAAGGAAAUCGCCAAGGGGCUUGAUAAGUUUGUGAUUGGUCAGGAGAGAGCUAAAAAGGUGCUCUCUGUGGGAGUUUACAAUCACUACAAGCGCAUCUAUCAUGAAUCGCUACAAAGGCCGACAGGAGAUACAGUUAACAACAAAGCUGAUGCUGUUGAUGAUGAUAAAGUGGAACUUGAGAAAAGUAACA
rnacentral:misc_RNA from 1 species